AGAGUUUGAUCCUGGCUCAGAAUCAACGCUGGCGGCGUGCCUCAGACACGCAAGUCGAACGCGAAAGUUUCCUUCGGGAGACGAGUAGAGUGGCGCACGGGUGAGUAACACGUAGGUAAUCUACCUUCGGAUGGGGAAUAACAAUCGGAAACGGUUGCUAAUACCGCAUAAUGCAGCGGCACCUAAUGGUGACAGUUGUUAAAGCGGGGGAUCGAAAGACCUCGCGUCUGAAGAGGAGCCUGCGGCGGAUUAGCUAGUUGGUAAGGUAAUGGCUUACCAAGGCAACGAUCCGUAACCGGCCUGAGAGGGCGGUCGGUCACACUGACACUGACAUACGGGUCAGACUCCUACGGGAGGCAGCAGUCGGGAAUUUUGGGCAAUGGGCGAAAGCCUGACCCAGCAACGCCGCGUGAAGGAUGAAAUCCCUCGGGAUGUAAACUUCGCAAGAACGGGAAGAAUAAGCGAAGGCUAAUACCAUUCGUGAUGACGGUACCGUUUGUAAGCUCCGGCUAACUCCGUGCCAGCAGCCGCGGUAAUACGGGGGGAGCAAGCGUUGUUCGGAUUUACUGGGCGUAAAGGGCGCGUANGCGGUCAGCACAAGUCAGUUGUGAAAUCUCCGGGCUUAACUCGGAAAGGUCAACUGAUACUGUGCGACUAGAGUGCAGAAGGGGCAACU
rnacentral:rRNA from 1 species